AUGAAAACUCUCUACUACAUAGAGGUUCGAAAGUUCAUUACACAUAACAUAGGCAUGUUAAGCAUUCUAAAAUUCACAAUAAAUAUAUCUAACGUGAAAAUGCAUGAAUUUUUACCGUACGACACAUAAGUCAUCAAAUAUGAGAAUUUCUUAUAUUUUAGGCUAGGUCAAACCCACCGAACUUCGCGCAACCCUUCGUUUGCUUCAACGAAGAUGUCCACUAAGCUCCUAGCACCCUAAAAGCAUCAAAAAGUG
rnacentral:lncRNA from 1 species